rnacentral:tRNA from 1 species
GAGAAGGGGUAAGAAACAAGGAAACUG